rnacentral:rRNA from 1 species
CGGCGGACGGGUGAGUAAUGCCUAGGAAUCUGCCUGGUAGUGGGGGACAACGUUUCGAAAGGAACGCUAAUACCGCAUACGUCCUACGGGAGAAAGCAGGGACCUUCGGGCCUUGCGCUAUCAGAUGAGCCUAGGUCGGAUUAGCUAGUUGGUGAGGUAAUGGCUCACCAAGGCGACGAUCCGUAACUGGUCUGAGAGGAUGAUCAGUCACACUGGAACUGAGACACGGUCCAGACUCCUACGGGAGGCAGCAGCC